GGCAAGAGGUUCAUUUGGGAGCCGAUCCCAAGGAAGCCCCAUAGAGGUAUCAGACAUGCUUUGGUGCUACAAUGACACAAAUAUUCCUGUGUACAAGAUAUGUCGAUAUGUUAUUAUCCUCUGAAAGCACCUCAUCCAGCGGUCAGGCUGAUGGCACCCUCAGCCACUCAGGCCAUAAAUUGCAAGAUGGCGAUGAGGGAUGCUAGAAACUGAGCACCGUUCAAGACUUGAUUCUGUAGGAAAGAUGGAAUUGCCCUCAGGCAGCUCUCAGAACAGCUGUGUAACACCGCAGAUGACUGCAGCAGGAUUCACUGACCACGGUGUUUGGUAUUGUGUCUCAGCAACAGGAAAGCUGACUAAUACAGCAAGAUUCAGAUGUAAAUUCAGGUCUCCUGAGAUAUUUCCAGUCUACAGUUGGUUGACUCUGUAGAUGUGGAACCCUUGAAUAUGGAGAGCUGACUGGACUCUGAUACGUGUUCUACAAUCAACAACAUUCUCAGAGCUCAGAGACCCAAGAAAAGAGAGACAAGAAAGGGC
rnacentral:lncRNA from 1 species